GGUCCAAUGCUCAUUGAAGUCA
rnacentral:miRNA from 14 species